UACGUAGGGUGCAAGCGUUAAUCGGAAUUACUGGGCGUAAAGCGUGCGCAGGCGGUUUUGUAAGUCUGUCGUGAAAUCCCCGGGCUCAACCUGGGAAUAGCGAUGGAGACUGCAAGGCUAGAGUUUGGCAGAGGGGGGUAGAAUUCCACGUGUAGCAGUGAAAUGCGUAGAUAUGUGGAGGAACACCGAUGGCGAAGGCAGCCCCCUGGGUCAAAACUGACGCUCAUGCACGAAAGCGUGGGGAGCAAACAGG
rnacentral:rRNA from 1 species